rnacentral:rRNA from 1 species
CCGCGGUAGAAGUCGUAGGCCUCGACGGCGUGGUAGGUGCUGCCGCGACCCUACGGGGAGGAUUGGUACGUUCUUUUCUAACAAAAUUUCUUCCCGAUAACUUUUUUCUACACACUCCCGUAGUCAGUGAGAGUACGGCCGUACGGCGUGAAAGUCGAUCGUCUCCCUCAUUACCCGCUCCUCUACUUGGAUCCUCUCGUUUUAACUCUUGAGGUCGAUUUCGUCGAGGACGGGUCGCCGCUCCUGAAGUCGCCGUCGUCGUGGACACGUACCCCUCCUUGUCGGGGACCCGCGUGCAUCCGUCGUCGAGCGGAGGUGAUCGCCCGCCGUCGUCUCGUGGUCGAGCGGAGGUGGUCGCCGGCCGUCAUCUAGUCGUGGAGCAGAGGUGGUCGCCGGCCGUCGUCUCGUGGUGGACCCGCGCGCCCCCGGCCCUCCUCGGGGACCGCACCCUCUCCUCGCG